rnacentral:rRNA from 1 species
UACGUAGGGUGCGAGCGUUGUCCGGAAUUAUUGGGCGUAAAGGGCUCGUAGGCGGUCUGUCACGUCGGGAGUGAAAACUCAGGGCUUAACCCUGAGCCUGCUUCCGAUACGGGCAGACUAGAGGUAUGCAGGGGAGAACGGAAUUCCUGGUGUAGCGGUGAAAUGCGCAGAUAUCAGGAGGAACACCGGUGGCGAAAGCGCUCGUCUGGCCCAAUACUGACGCUGAUGCGCGAAAGCUAGGGGAGCAAACGGG